AUUGAACGCUGGCGGCAUGCCUUACACAUGCAAGUCGAACGGCAGCACGGGUGCUUGCACCUGGUGGCGAGUGGCGAACGGGUGAGUAAUACAUCGGAACAUGUCCUGUAGUGGGGGAUAGCCCGGCGAAAGCCGGAUUAAUACCGCAUACGAUCCACGGAUGAAAGCGGGGGACCUUCGGGCCUCGCGCUAUAGGGUUGGCCGAUGGCUGAUUAGCUAGUUGGUGGGGUAAAGGCCUACCAAGGCGACGAUCAGUAGCUGGUCUGAGAGGACGACCAGCCACACUGGGACUGAGACACGGCCCAGACUCCUACGGGAGGCAGCAGUGGGGAAUUUUGGACAAUAGGCGAAAGCCUGAUCCAGCAAUGCCGCGUGUGUGAAGAAGGCCUUCGGGUUGUAAAGCACUUUUGUCCGGAAAGAAAUCCUUGACUCUAAUACAGUCGGGGGAUGACGGUACCGGAAGAAUAAGCACCGGCUAACUACGUG
rnacentral:rRNA from 1 species